GAUAACUCCAGCUUGUGACAAGUUGAUGCACAAAACCAGCCAGUACAAUAAUUGAAUGUGUUUGUGCUUUGAUUCCAAGAUCCUAGCUGUCAGUACUUGUCUUUUGUAUCCCUUUUGAAUGUCUCAGGUCAUCGGCCUGGCCUCGCCUGUGUCCAUCUCACACACUUUUCAGUUUGGCUUAUGUUUCUCUUUUCUUCUCGGUGCGUGUAAAAUUUCUACACUACCUAUAUCUUUAUGUGAUCCAUAUUUCAUUCUUUGAAAAAAAAUGUUCUUAACUUUCCAGUGCAUGCUCUCAAUAUCAAAUUAAGGAGCCAGGAGGCUCUGGCUGGGCAUAGUGGCCUGUACUUGGAGACUGAAGCUAUUGGAUCGGAUUGCUGCCAGUUUUUAAGCAGCCUUGGUUUCAUAGCGAGAUGAGGUCUAGCCUUGGCACAUGCACACUUGAGGCCAGACUGAGACGCUGAUUCACCUCAUCCUUCUCCCCCCAAAAAAUGAUAGAAAGAAAGAGCCAGGAAACUUACAUAAAAUAUAUUCUGUCCUCCCUAAAUAUCUAGACUGCUAAGUAUCUCGACACUAUUAGUAGACGGAAAUCACGUGUUAAGAAGCAGGUCCUUUCCUCCGCCGUCUUGCGCGCUGCGCCUGAUUCAGAUUCUCACCAUGUCUUUCAGAAUCAAGAGACUCCCGGCAAAGAAACAAAAGCAAAAUCGUCCUACUCCUCAAUGGAUUCAGAUGAAAACUGGUAACAAAAUCAGCUCUGUUUACCGCUCAGAUCAAACCGCUGAAGGUGGCUACCAACCAGUUGCAGGUCUGUGUCGUCUCAGCCUCAGACUCCAGAAGGAGGCCAACAGAAUCCUUUUAUCUCCAGUUCUGAAAGUCCUUGGAAGAAAAACAAAACUCUCCCUUUGCUCAGCUUAGGAAUGCCUCUGCCUGACCAAUGUGGUGGUAAACACCACCCCUGCAAGUGACGUCUCUGGCCCACCUCAUGGCUGAGGUACUGUAAAUAUGUGAUAAAUAUAAGUUGACGUUCUCCACAAAUGGCGCACAGAAAUUUUCAAAAAUGGUAAGAUGGUGUCUUAGUUACUUUUCAAUUUUACGAAAGCACCAAAGCAACCUGUAAAAGAAAGUGCUUACUCUGGCUCGUUGCUCACGAGGGUUAGCGCGUGGCUACUGUGCAGACAUACUUAUGUCUUGAGACAGAUAACUGGGAUAGG
rnacentral:sRNA from 1 species